CCUACGGGGGGCAGCAGUGGGGAAUAUUGCGCAAUGGGCGAAAGCCUGACGCAGCGACGCCGCGUGAGGGAUGAAGGUCUUCGGAUCGUAAACCUCUGUCAGCAGGGAAGAACGGUCACUGUGCUAAUCAGCAGUGAAUUGACGGUACCUGCAAAGGAAGCACCGGCUAACUCCGUGCCAGCAGCCGCGGUAAUACGGAGGGUGCGAGCGUUAAUCGGAAUUACUGGGCGUAAAGCGAUCGUAGGCGGUAGGUCAAGUCAAGGGUGAAAUCCCCGCGCUCAACGUGGGAACUGCCUUUGAAACUGGCAGACUGGAGUGUGGGAGAGGAUAGUGGAAUUCCAGGUGUAGGAGUGAAAUCCGUAGAUAUCAGGAGGAACAUCAGUGGCGAAGGCGACUAUCUGGCACAUAACUGACGCUGAGGAGCGAAAGCGUGGGUAGCAAACAGGAUUAGAUACCCGGGUAGUC
rnacentral:rRNA from 1 species